GACGAACGUUGGCGGCGUGCUUAACACAUGCAAGUCGAACGGAAAGGCCCUGCUUUUGUGGGGUGCUCGAGUGGCGAACGGGUGAGUAACACGUGAGUAACCUGCCCUUGACUUUGGGAUAACUUCAGGAAACUGGGGCUAAUACCGGAUAGGAGCUCCUGCUGCAUGGUGGGGGUUGGAAAGUUUCGGCGGUUGGGGAUGGACUCGCGGCUUAUCAGCUUGUUGGUGGGGUAGUGGCUUACCAAGGCUUUGACGGGUAGCCGGCCUGAGAGGGUGACCGGCCACAUUGGGACUGAGAUACGGCCCAGACUCCUACGGGAGGCAGCAGUGGGGAAUAUUGCACAAUGGGCGGAAGCCUGAUGCAGCAACGCCGCGUGCGGGAUGACGGCCUUCGGGUUGUAAACCGCUUUCGCCUGUGACGAAGCGUGAGUGACGGUAAUGGGUAAAGAAGCACCGGCUAACUACGUGCCAGCAGCCGCGGUGAUACGUAGGGUGCGAGCGUUGUCCGGAUUUAUUGGGCGUAAAGGGCUCGUAGGUGGUUGAUCGCGUCGGAAGUGUAAUCUUGGGGCUUAACCCUGAGCGUGCUUUCGAUACGGGUUGACUUGAGGAAGUUAGGGGAGAAUGGAAUUCCUGGUGGAGCGGUGGAAUGCGCAGAUAUCAGGAGGAACACCAGUGGCGAAGGCUGUUCUCUGGGCCUUUCCUGACGCUGAGGAGCGAAAGCGUGGGGAGCGGACAGGCUUAGAUACCCUGGUAGUCCACGCUGUAAACGGUGGGUACUAGGUGUGGGGUCCAUUCCACGGGUUCCGUGCCGUAGCUAACGCUUUAAGUACCCCGCCUGGGGAGUACGGCCGCAAGGCUAAAACUCAAAGGAAUUGACGGGGCCCCGCACAAGCGGCGGAGCAUGCGGAUUAAUUCGAUGCAACGCGUAGAACCUUACCUGGGUUUGACAUGGAUCGGGAGUGCUCAGAGAUGGGUGUGCCUCUUUUGGGGUCGGUUCACAGGUGGUGCAUGGCUGUCGUCAGCUCGUGUCGUGAGAUGUUGGGUUAAGUCCCGCAACGAGCGCAACCCUUGUUCACUGUUGCCAGCACGUUAUGGUGGGGACUCAGUGGAGACCGCCGGGGUCAACUCGGAGGAAGGUGGGGAUGACGUCAAGUCAUCAUGCCCCUUAUGUCCAGGGCUUCACGCAUGCUAUAAUGGCUGGUACAGAGAGUGGCGAGCCUGUGAGGGUGAGCGAAUCUCGGAAAGCCGGUCUCAGUUCGGAUUGGGGUCUGCAACUCGACCUCAUGAAGUCGGAGUCGCUAGUAAUCGCAGAUCAGCAACGCUGCGGUGAAUACGUUCCCGGGGCU
rnacentral:rRNA from 1 species